UACGGAGGAUGCGAGCGUUAUCCGGAAUCAUUGGGUUUAAAGGGUGCGUAGGCUGGUAUUUAAGUCAGUGGUGAAAAUUUUUCGUGCUUAACAUGAGAGCUGCCAUUGAUACUGGGUACCUAGAGUGUAUUUGAUGUGGGCGGAAUGUGUUGUGUAGCGGUGAAAUGCUUAGAUAUGACACAGAACACCGAUAGCGAAGGCAGCUCACAAAAGUUACAACUGACGCUGAUGCACGAAAAGCGU
rnacentral:rRNA from 1 species